ensembl:snoRNA SNORA62 Small nucleolar RNA SNORA62/SNORA6 family
UGAGCACACUAUUAAAGCCUUGACACUGUUGAUGUUGGUGUUAAGGUGUCGGAAGUGUGCCAGAGUGAAUGGGCCGGGUUUUCGCUAACACCAUGAGGGCUGUUGCCCCAUGACUGGGGUUUGAUAGUGACCUGAGCCACAUUC